CUGCGAAGAUGGCGGCUGUUAAUUGGAUGAGAGCAACACCCUGAGAAGCUGACGCCAGAUUAAACGCCCGAAAGGUAGUUUUCAUUCGGCAUUCUCGUCUCGGUGUGUUUCUGAGUCCACGCUUUGGUGACAAUAAAGCGCACUAUUCUGAUCCAGACAACUCACCGGCCUCGGCCGUACCCUCCCGCAUCCUCCGACCGGGCCGCCUUACCAGCGUUUCAGUGGAAGAUGUAUCUCCUCAUCCAGAUCUGGAUGUCAGACCAGUCAAGACAAUGUGAGAUUUGAAAAGAACUUAGAAGUAAUGGUGUCCACAUGCAUCUCCUCUCCUGUUCUUCUAGAUGGUGAAGGUUGAGAAUUUGGGAAAUUCUAUCGAGGUUCUGGUUAAACUAAGUUACCAUAAGAAGAGGAAUUUAAAUCAAGGAUCACAUAUCCAGCAUCAUCUCAGAAUCUGAUGGCAGCUUCCAGAUUAUUACAAGCAGAAUGUAACUGCAUUUUGAACAUGGAAGGAACAAGCACAGUUCACAGUGAAGAGAAACCCUAUGCAUAUUCUGUGUGGGGACAAGGGUUCAGCCAAUCAUCUGGCCCCUUGAGACAAAAGACAUUGAGUAAAAGCCAUAGAAAUGUGGGGAUUGUGAUGAAGGAUUCAAAUCCCUGCCUGAGCUGGAGACCCAUCAGCGCAGUCUCAUUGGGGAAAAGCCACUCACUUGCUCUGAGUGUGGGAAAGGAUUUACUCCGUCAUACCAACUCACGACCCACCAGUAAGUUCGCACCGAGGAGAGAUCUUUCAAAUGCACAGACUGUGUGGAAAGUGAUAUAAAUGUUUUGGGGAACUGCUGUGAGCAUGUGGUGUGUUCACAUUGAGGAGUGACCAUUCAGAUAUUGUCACUGUUGGAAAGGGUUCAAGACAUCAUCUGAAGUUACUGUCCACCAGUGCAUUCACACUGGGUAGGGGCCGUUCACCUCCAGUCUGCGGGGGAAGAGAUACGUGCAGUCACAAGACACCUGCGAGUUCAGUCUGAGGAGUGACCUUUUUUAACUGUUCAAUUUGUAGGAAAUGCCUUAAAAGUUCGCAGGAAGUGAUGCCCCUUCAACAGCUUCACACUGGAGGAGACGACUCAACUGCUGUCACUGUGGGACUGGGUUCAGGCAUUCAUCUUGUCUCACAGUUCACCAGUGAAUUCACACUGGGGAGAGGCCAUUUACCUUCUCCACAUGUAGGAAGACAUUGAUUCGAUUACCCCAACUCAUGAUACACCAGCAAACUCACACUGGGGAGAGAACUUUUAAUUGUCCAUUCUGCAGGCAAGCUUUUAAACUUCUCAGGAAGUGAUGACACAUCAACAGGUUCACACUGGGAACCGAACUUUUAACAGCUCAGUCUGCAGUAGGUUGCAUAAGAGUUCUCGCGAUCUGGUGAUCAAUACACGUAUUCAAACUCAAAGACCUUUCAGAUGCUCUCACUGCAGGACUGUGUUCAAGUGAUCAUCUUACCUUUUUAGAACAACAGUGAAUUCACACUGGGGAGAGAUCGUUCACCUGCACCAAGUAUAGGAACAGAUUCACUCGAAAACCCCAUCUGCUGACUCACCAGUGAGUUUGAACACAACGCCAGGAGUUGGACUUUGCUAUUCGUCACAUCCAGAACUGAACCAUGUUCAUUGGUUAAUCAACUCCAAUUCAGUUUUAGCUAUUAAUAUUCUGGAUAAAAAUAAACUGCUUUGUAAUUAAACAG